rnacentral:lncRNA from 1 species
GCAUUAUUGAAGUCAUGUGCUGGGCUUUGGGCAUUUUAAAAACACUUGGUGAGAGGUUGGAAGUAAUGUCUCGACUUCUGCUGGGCUGAUACUUUGCCCGUAUUUCAAUCCUACUGAGGCACUGGUAAGCCUAAUGAUCAUCCGAGGGUUCUCCUAACUUCACUAGUGACACUAAUCUUGCAUCCAGGCACAUUGCGAUGUAUUUCCUGGACGACAAAGUGCUUUUCCUUUUGGACCCAGCUUUACCUCCAUCCCAUGCAAACACAUCACCAUUUCACUUUAUUUCUUUAAUUUAUAGGCAUCAAAGUUGCUGAAUCAGGAAACUGAGGUUAUAGCUGUUGAAGAAACGAAUCCCACAUUGUGACAAACUGCUUUUUCGGCAGAUUUUCUUGUGUUCCUCAUUCUGAGUCAUUGUCACACAUUUUAAAGGCCGGAGUUACAUAUGAAGCUCUUGAUGAGAUCGCCUGAGUGUAGAUGUGCCAACACGGGUUCCGGUUUUACCACAGCUAAUUCUCUUAUUUCAAAGAGCGGAAAUAUCCUCGGACAAAUCUGCUUUGUCAAGGUUGAAAACGUUCCACACCACAGAUGGUGACCAUAAGGUGCAAUGUAGGCUUAUGCUCUGCUGAGUGAUGGUUCCAGCAAAUGCUAAGGGUAGCUUUGAGACAGAAUGACUGCAGAUCCUCUCAAUUAAGAAUUCUUGGACUUCCAAUGGAUUACAGAAAUUCACUCUCCAGGAAAGCCUGGAAAAUCCCUUCUGCUGUACUGUGUUCCGGGUAUAUAUAGGGGCCUCAACAGAACCUCAAAGACUCAACUCAAGGCCAGGA